CGGGCUGUGGCGCAGUUUGGUAGCGCACUAUGCUGGGGGCGUAGGGGUCGCUGGUUCAAAUCCAGUCAGCCCGACCA
rnacentral:tRNA from 1 species